UACAGAGGGGGCGAGCGUUGUUCGGAAUUACUGGGCGUAAAGGGCGCGUAGGCGGCCCGCUAAGUCGAACGUGAAAUCCCCAGGCUCAACCUGGGAACUGCGUCCGAUACUGGCAGGCUUGAAUCCGGGAGAGGGAUGUGGAAUUCCAGGUGUAGCGGUGAAAUGCGUAGAUAUCUGGAGGAAUACCGGUGGCGAAGGCGGCAUCCUGGACCGAUAUUGACACUGAUGAGCGAAAGCCAGGGGAGCAAACGGG
rnacentral:rRNA from 1 species